CCACCACCAACAACAACAACAACAACAACAACAACAACAACAACAACUACAACAAUAACACCGUCAUGGUCUGGGUUGUGUAAAGUCUCCAGGAAAAUUAAUACAACAGCAGGUGGCAGGAGGGCCCUGCUUAUACAGCAGGAGGGCCCUGCUUAUACAGAAGGAGGGCCCUGCUUAUACAGCAGGAGGGCCCUGCUUAUACAGUAGGAAGGCCCAGCUUAUACAGCAGGAAGGCCCAUCUUAUACUGCAGGAGGAACCUGCUUAUACAACAGAUGAUCCGUGCACUGGCAGUGCAGUAACAUACAUUCACUGGUAACAUCGUGUCAUCAGUGCAGUAGCAUACAUUCACUGCUAACAUCCAGUGUCAUCCAACUCAAGAAAUGGCAGCAAUACUGGGUACUACCAGUAUCGGCACCAAGUUGCAAUCACUGUCCGAAAUAGUUAAUCUAUAAUAUUAUAAAGGUAAAGCCAAGCAUCUCGGUAUAUACUGUCUGAACACUGUUAACCUGUAUGUGUUAGGCUACCUGUCCAAACUUACAAUGUACAAAGACAUCACCUUGUUGUAGUCACAUAUGUUAACAGGAAAUACAGAUACAGAGUGUAGCAACAUACAGUACUGAGUUGAUAACACUUACAUGGCAGCUAGAGUGCAUCUGCUGAAGACAUGGCUAUUAAUAAUUUACACAGUGACAACUUACACUUCUGUUGCUUAUGAGAGAUUGUGUAGGAAGAGUCUUAUAUCACUAAUCACUUGGAAGUUUUGAGCUCUUAUAGAAUAUUGUUCUUUAGGGGAACUCAGUACUUAUUGUAUAUUUUAUACAUGUAUACUUAAACUAUAUUUUGUCAUCAAAAUAUGCCAAGGACUAACAUUAAUUUAUUACCAGUUUGUUUUGUCUAUAAGUACUCAUUAAGAGUAUGUUUUAGAUGUCAGGUAAUAUUGAAUGAAAAACCCUCAUCAUUUUUCAAAAUACAGUAAUAGGGUAGUACUGACCUAAAACUGAGCAUCAGUAUUGGAAAGAUUUUGGUGUUGUCCAAUCCUUAUACAGUAAGUCUACUCUAGGAAAAUGUGAGCAUUUGCAAAUGAUUAAAAUACAAGUUUUUAUUCUACUAAAUGACUGGCAACAUUAUUGUCAACUGCUGUAUACUGUAACAUAAAUCAUAAAUGUAUUUAUUGUUAAAAACUUGAAAAAGUAAAGCAAACAUGAGUAUUCGUUCAGUUAAGAAACCUUUACAGUGCUCAGUUUGCCCAAAAGUUUUUUCGUGCAAGUUUCGUCUCAUGACUCACUAUAGAACUCACACAGGAGAGAAACCACAUCAUUGCCCAGUGUGCCAAAAAGGUUUUAAUGAAAAAUACAAACUAAAACAGCAUCAGAAAAUUCAUACAGGAGAAAGACCACAUAACUGCCCAGUGUGUCAAAAAGGUUUUAUUUAUAAAUCUAAACUAAAUCAACAUCAGAGACUUCAUACAGGAGAGAAACCAUUUCAGUGUUCAGAAUGCCUAAGAGACUUUAUUGAUAAAUACUCACUAAAACAACAUCAGAGAGUUCAUACAGGAGAAAAACCAUUUCAGUGUUUAUUGUGCCAAAAAACGUUUAAACAGAGCAGCAACCUCACCACACACAUGAGAGUUCACACUGGAGAGAAACCAUAUCAAUGCUCAGAGUGUCCACAAACAUUUUCAGUAAAAUGUUCUCUGGUAAAACACAUGCGUAAUCAUACAGGAGAGAAACCGUAUCAGUGUUCAGAGUGUUCAAAAGCAUUUUCAAGACACUAUGCUUUAGUUGCACAUAUGACAGUCCAUACAGGACAUAAACCGUACAAGUGUUCAGAAUGUCAGAAAGGUUUUUCAACAAAAGCACAGUUAACAUUACAUUUAAAAGUACAUUCUAAAGAGAAACAAUAUAGUUGCUCAGUGUGUUCUAAAAGCUUCUCACAGGAAUUAAGUUUAGUAAAACACACAAAAAGUCACAGCAGAGAACAAACUCAUCAGUGUUCAAGGUGUCUAAAAAGUUUUUUACAUGAAACUAAUCUAGUAAAUCAUAUGAAAACUCAUAUACAAGAGAUAAUCAACAGUGAUGUUUAGUGUUUAGAAAACUUUCAAGAAAAUCCUAUCUUGUAAAAAACGACUCCAGCAAGAAAACUCCAGUUUAGUUGAUGUUUUUUAUUAGAAUCACAAUAUAAGUAUCAGAGUUGGCAGAUGGGAAAAAUAAGAACACAUUCAAAAUAAAGCAAGUAAUAAAAUAAGAAUAAAAUACAGUGAAACAAAACAACGCCCCCAGGGCCGCGGGGGCAUUGACCUCUGAAACUCUCUCCAGGUAUACUCCAGGUAAGGGGUGUGCCUUGAUAGUAAUGAGUUCUUGUUCCAAGGAACUGUAUAUCUCCUUCAAGGAGGGUUCGUUGUAGUGGUGAAGGAGGAUUUGGACCUCUUCUCUCCUUCCUUAGAUCAAAUCUGAAUACAUUGGUCACAUUUCUCUCCUCUUUUGGAAAAGAGUGGAGAUAUUUCCUACUUUGUAAAAUUGUGCUCCUUUUGGAAAGAAAUAGUUAACUUUGUUGCUCUAAUCUUGCAUUCCUUCAGAUGGUAGUGCCAUAUUGUUUGUCAACUAAGUGGAGGAAAUUGAUUCAUCUGGAGGACCUCUUGGGUGGCUGCAGGCAGGACAUUGGGUAAUCAUGCAACAGGCCUUCUGAUGGGAGGAAUACUAGUGAAUGUUACCUGCAGUUCCAACAGUGGCAGCUGAAGGUGUACAACUCAUGGUGUUCAUUGUGGUUUCCCCUCCACCAUUAUUAGCUGUAUGAUGUUGGCCCCUCUGGUACUCUUUCUAAUCAGCUGGCUUUGCUAAUCAUUGCUCACUUCUGGAGGUUCCAUCUAGGUAGUUUAUACCUGGUAGAUGUGGUUUGUAGGGAAGGUGGAUGGCAAUAUUGAUGGUGUUGAUGAUGGGUGCUGCUUGGGGUGGGUCUCUUUUUUUAUUCUCUAGGCUGUACUUCCUUCUUCUCUUUCUUGUCCCCCCUGAUGGUAGAUCCUUGAUGUCCAGUGGGGGAAUUGCCACCUUUGCUGUCAUGGCCAUACUGAGGUGGGUUUUGGCUUCAUUAGCUCCUUCAGCUCUUUGUGCCAAGUCCAGUGACUCAUAAAUUCUUUGUUUCCCCAUGCCAGCAAGUUGAGCAGGCUGGUAAAACUAUGGCUUGCAGGUGAGCAACAUCUAUGGUAAGAGAACAGAGGAGGUUGAAUGCUGACCCCACUUGAAUCAGUUGGUUGACUCCAAACCAUCUUUUAAAUAAGUUCAACAUAUACUAGAUGAUCAUGAUACUGAAGUAACUGCUGUAACUUCUUACUUACAUACUACAAAACACUACCUAGAAACUUUUUCUACAAGAUGUAUUUUGCAGACACUGGGAUGAAAUUGUUAUUCUUCCAGCCAACAACACUUAUGGAUUACAUUACCUAACCAUGGCAUUAACAAAGCACUCAUGAGAUAUGUUGACCAAAGCAAAUCCUUCCAUGCCUUCAAGAGUGGAACGAUUAUUGUUACUAUAUGUAUGAUACAGAACAGUACAACAACUUUUCCCAUAUCUGCUCUGUGACUAUAUCCCAGUCACACCACACAGCCAUUCCUUCCUCAUUUCAAGCUGCGCAACUGCCAUCAUCUAACACACACUAUAAUACAACAAGAAUGUUGUAUUAUAGUGUAUUAAAAUGUUACCCAGACAUUUACAAGCAACUUGAGCCCCAUUACCUUCCUAUCACCAAAGUAGAAACAUACAUCUACUCUGCCUAACACUGGAUAUGUUUCCCUAGCAGUGUAGUUUAAAGUACCUUUCAACUGCCAAGACCUUCCAUCCUUGGUUUAUAUAAUGGGGCAGUGCUUACAGGUAUGGCAUCUCUGACCAAUGUUUCAACAAUACAGACAAUUCUGGCACUUUGGCCACCCAGCCAAAUAUUGCAGAUCACCAACAAAAUGUUCAGUCUGUAGUGUAGUGGGUCAUAAUGUUCCAUCCUGUGGCUAAACUCAUCCCCCAUCAUCCCCAUGCUUCUAGUUGCCUUAACUGUGGCUAAGUACUCCCUGUACAUUUUUCUAAUGAGAAAGUGAAAUACACUGUCUCAGGAAGAAACAGAAGCUAUCAUACACUAUGAUAGCUACCUUGGCUCUCCUACUCCAGAGCUACACAACGACUACAGGAUUUUGUUGAAACCUCUCCCAUAGUUUCUCAGACCCUUAGGACUUUAGUGCUUAGUUUUGAUUGUAAGAAUAAUAAAAAUCAUAAUAAUAAUAAUAAUAAUAAUAAUAAUAAUAAUAAUCCUACAGUCUCUUGUGCUCAGUCCUUACGAAGUUCUCACCUCUUACGUUCCUAGUUCUUUGCUCUCUCCCAUUCUUACAACUUCACCUUCUCAGUCAUGGACUGGGCAUGGGGGCAUUUAAUCCUGGAACUCUCUCCUGGUAGGAAACCCCAUGCAGCCUUCACUAGCUGGGCUUUUGUCAUUUUCCCCAAAACUUCAGACUCAGAACUCGUAGUCAUCAAACCUCCUUACCAACCUAUUGUUCCUUAAUCCUUAACUCUUGCUCUCAGUGUGCCUUGCACCUUGACUCCUGCAUCUGUGAUAGUUGUAGAAAUCCACCACCACUUGCUACCACUCAUAAAUCCCUUCAUCUCUCUUAAUCUUUUCAGCUGCCAUUAUCAUUCCUCUCCUACUUUUUCUACUCGCAUCACACUACCUGCCACUUCCUUGACUAUAGAAACUACUGAGGUCAUGUAGGCUUUUAUUGAAGAGACAAAGCCCACAGUGGAUGCUGAACCACCCAUUAUCUUCAGUCUCACUCUCCACAACCCCCUACACCUUCUGUUAAUACAUCUUCUUACUCCAGUUACCUACAGAUCUUUUAUUAUUAUGCUAAUUUGCUGCUGCCAGUGUACAUUGACUUUACUAAUCAUGCUAGCCCAUAGCUACUACUUAUAAUGCCAUAAUAAUGGCAUUAUUAAAGUGGUAUAUCAAAAGAUACAGUUGAUAUUGGAGAAUGCUCUAAAUGUUGAUCUCCCAGGUUUCCUCUGUAUGUACAGUGGACCCCCGUUUAACGAUCACCUCCAAAUGCCACCAAUUAUGUAAGUGUAUUUAUGUAAGUGCAUUUGCACGUGUAUGUUUGGGGGUCUGAAAUGGACUAAUCUACUUCACAAUAUUCCUUAUGGGAACAAAUUCGGUCAGUACUGGUACCUGAACAUACUUCUGGAAUGAAAAAAGAUCGUUAAUCGGGGGUCCUCUGUAUUUGUUUUCAACAACAAAAAAUAUGUUAAGCAGUUUGAAUUCCAAUCUCUGGAUUUGUUCUGUUACAGUCAGUCAAUCCUUUUCCAGUGAGACAGUGGAAGUGCACUUUUUAUACACGAUGAUAUUUCUUGUUCUUGACACAAAGUUCAUAUUGAAAGUCAUAUGCAGUUUGUUUUUCAUAUCUUUUUCCCUUUAUGUCCAAUAUCUAUACCUAGCAUGUAAUUUCUGCUUUUAUUAGGUGAUUUUAGUGCUCAUCAUUUGCUCUGGAAAGAGUGCUAAUUGUGACUCACAGAGACCAGUUAGAGGCUUUUCCCUACUCUGUACUUUCCAUGUCUUGAUCACGGUACCCCCUACACUCUCCAUGUCUCGAUCAAUGGCACCACUACACUUUCCGUGUCUCGAUCAAUGGUACCCCUACACUUUCCAUGUCUCGAUCAAUGGUACCCCUACGCUUUUAGAAUCUUGCACCCAUACUUUCUCCUUUAUAGAUCUUCCAUUAUAGUGUUGGGCUUUGAUUGGACAGUAGUAAAUGAUCUUGAUUGCCAUCAUUUCCCCCUUGUCUCAUUACUUCUCAUUAUUACACCAUACCUCAUCGUUCCCAUUAGUAGCUUGAGCUAGCAGAUUGGGAACUUUAUACAAACUGUUCCUCAUUGCUGAUGGUCCCCUAAUUCAUCCUCUGCAAUCAGGUGUUACAAAUCUUUAUCACCUCUGUUCUCUCUGUGGAUACAGUUGCAAUCCCCCGAACCAUGAGUAAACAUUUUCAAAAGUUAUGUUAGGUAAAGGGACACAAGUGCAACAAUUAUGACAUUUUUCUGUGGCAAUGUUCCCCUCUCCAGGAGCUUUGUCAAGCCGGUACAAACAGUACAUGGACACAGAGGGCAUAUGUAGGCUUACAGUGAGGUAUACACAAAUUACCCGCACAUAGAAGAGAGGAGCUUACGACAACAUUUUGGUCUGACUUGGACAAUUUACAAAUGGUCCAAGUCGAACCAAAACAUCGUCAUAAGCUCCUCUCUUCUAUGUGCAGGUUAUUUGUGUAUUGUUCCAGUCAUGGUAUUGUGCCUUUUUUUGUUAUUUACAAUGAGGUGUGAUACUAGCGAUAGUAGUACAAGUACCAUCCUAUUUAUGACCGAGCUUAGUUCUGACCAACUGGUCGUAAGUUAAAAUGGGCAUAAGUUGAACCUUUGAAAAUUGCCGACAUACUGGGUAGGGCAUAAUGUCAAACCUUUGCUAUAUAAACUACCUACAUAGUAAUGUAAUGUAAUGUAUAAUCAUUAUUCAUUCUUUUUACCAUAAUUUACUUCUAUAAAUAUACUUUAAUCAUUUAUGUACUGUAUAUUAUGUAUACAUGGUAGUACACUGUAUUGUAAAUUUUACAUCUCAUACAGUAUCGUAUGUUACUGUUAUCUUUAAGUAUUGUCGACACAGUGGAAUGGGAGAAUACCACUGGUAGUGUCACCCUGCCAGAAUGUCCUAUAACCUAUGCCCUAAGUAAAGAGAAAUACACUCUGGAACAUGUGUAAUACGUAUUUGGCUGGCUAGCCGGCCGGCCGGCUUUUGGUUGGCUGCCUGACUGACUGAAUUUGGAUCUCUCUCCAUCUGUAUCUGUCUAUCUCUGUCUGUCUGUCUCUGCCUGUCUCUGUCUGUCUCUGUCUGUCUCUGUCUCUCUGUCUCUGUCUGUCUCUGUCUCUCUCUGUCUGUCUCUCUCUGUCUCUGUCUCUCUCUCUGUCUCUCUCUCUGUCUCUCUCUCUGUCUCUCUCUCUGUCUCUCUGUCUCUCUCUCUCUCUCACAGGUACACAUAAGUUAUCAUACAUAGUGUAAAUUACCUAGGAUAACCCCAAAAAUUCAGACAAAGUGCUAUACUGUGGAUCUGUGCUCCAGUGCCCUAAAUUAAUAAGAACAUUAAUAAUUAUUAUUAUGUAUUAUUACAAUAAUACAUAUGUACUAAUAUUAAUAAUAAUAUUAUUAUUGUUAAACUAUAAUAAAAUAUAGUGUUUACUCAUUACUUUAAAAUAUCUGUAGUCUUAAUGUAGAGUGAGAGGUGAGUAAACAAUAUUAAAAGAAUAAACGAGAGAGAGAAUGAGUGUAGAAGGUUCGUGAGUUUUGCAGACAAACCAGUUGUUGUUAUUGUUGUUGUUACCAGCCCGGACACGAAUGGUUUUUGUUCACUCUGUUAAGCUGACUGGAAAAACAUCUCAUAUUUAUGUUAAUUUAUAUGUUACAUAGCGUGUUUAUUAUAUAAUUUUGAAAGAAAAUCAUAGAUGCAUUAAGCAAAAUGUCUAUAUUAAUGUUUUAUGCACAUUUAUGUGCCUCAGAGUGAUUAUUAUUGUGUUAUUAUUGUCAUUAUUAAUAUGGCAUCUUCAAGACCAAUAACACACUCUUAAUGAUUUUAAUGUGUAGCUGCACACCAGCGCAGGUGCAAGAUGUGAAGUUUAAAGUAGUUGAGUUCAUAUUUUAUUCAUUCUAGAGUGUAUAUCAGGUGUUUAUGUUAUUUAUAUUGUUUAUUAUGUCAUAUUAGAUGAAUUGUGAUAGAUAAAUAAGCUAUAUAGUGAUAUUAGCAUCAUAUUGAUGAUAUGACAACUCUGCUUCGUGUGUAAUACCUGUUGGUUCAUGAGUGGCUCUGAGACAGAGAGACAAGCAGACAGAAAGACACACACACAGGUAGACAGACAGACACACAGGUAGACAGAAAGACAGACACACAGGUAGACAGAAAGACAGACACAGGUAGACAAACAGACACACAGGUAGACAGAAAGACAGAUACACACAGGAAGACAAAGACAGAUAAACACACAGAGACAGAUACAGACAGACAGAUAUACAGGCAGACAGAUACAGACAGAUUUAUGUGCAACAGUGAAAACAAAUAGAGAGAGUUUGAAAGUAAGAACCUUUCUUGCCUUCUUGCCACAAUCUCCAGUGCAAAAUUCAGACUUUCUCUUAGGAACCAUGGUGAAAUUUACCGUCCAGUUAGUACAGUUAAUACAGUAUGAUGCUGCUGAUAGGGCAGGGUAACUCAAACUGAUGCUGCCUGCAUGAUGCAUUGCCACCGCGAAUUUUAUUAUUAUUAUCACACUGGCCGAUUCCCACCAAGGCAGGGUGGCCCGAAAAAGAAAAACUUUCACCAUCAUUCACUCCAUCACUGUCUUGCCAGAAGGGUGCUUUACACUACAGUUUUUAAACUGCAACAUUAACACCCCUCCUUCAGAGUGCAGGCACUGUACUUCCCAUCUCCAGGACUCAAGUCCGGCCUGCCGGUUUCCCUGAAUCCCUUCAUAAAUGUUACUUUGCUCACACUCCAACAGCACGUCAAGUAUUAAAAACAAUUUGUCUCCAUUCACUCCUAUCAAACACGCUCAUGCAUGCCUGCUGGAAGUCCAAGCCCCUCACACACAAAACCUCUUUUACCCCUCCCUCCAACCUUUCCUAGGCCGACCCCUACCCCGCCUUCCUUCCACUACAGACUGAUACACUCUUGAAGUCAUUCUGUUUCGCUCCAUUCUCUCUACAUGUCCGAACCACCUCAACAACCCUUCCUCAGCCCUCUGGACAACAGUUUUGGUAAUCCCGCACCUCCUCCUAACUUCCAAACUACGAAUUCUCUGCAUUAUAUUCACACCACACAUUGCCCUCAGACAUGACAUCUCCACUGCCUCCAGCCUUCUCCUCGCUGCAACAUUCAUCACCCACGCUUCACACCCAUAUAAGAGCGUUGGUAAAACUAUACUCUCAUACAUUCCCCUCUUUGCCUCCAAGGACAAAGUUCUUUGUCUCCACAGACUCCUAAGUGCACCACUCACUCUUUUUCCCUCAUCAAUUCUAUGAUUCACCUCAUCUUUCAUAGACCCAUCCGCUGACACGUCCACUCCCAAAUAUCUGAAUACGUUCACCUCCUCCAUACUCUCUCCCUCCAAUCUGAUAUUCAAUCUUCCAUCACCUAAUCUUUUUGUUAUCCUCAUAACCUUACUCUUUCCUGUAUUCACCUUUAAUUUUCUUCUUUUG